CGGUGCCUCCUGCAUCUAGCAAGAGGGUAAAAGGGAAACAGGUGAACAAUCCUGUGCGAUCUCGUCACUGUGAACGGGGAGCGGAGAACGAUGCGUUUCGGCGCGGUCACUGGUCUGUGGACUGGUAAGGCUGUUCUUGUGCGAUGAGCCAAAGUCAGGAAACCUGCCGGAUGC
rnacentral:ncRNA from 1 species